rnacentral:rRNA from 1 species
CGUUUUGGGGUUAUUUCAGGCCCAUGGCUUGGAACGGAAGGCUCCCUAGCCUCUUCUCCCCUGCGUGAGCCGCCGCCUCCGUCCCACCAGCACCAGGUGCCCGUCUCCGCCGGAUUCGCCGCACACCAGGCUGUCCUCUCCGGAACCCUAGUCGACCGCUGCUUGUCCCAGCCUGAUCCGCCGCGCAGGAGGCAGUCUCCCUGACCUCGGGCACGAGCGCUGCGUUCCCGUGCCCGCCCGCCGCCGGAUCCCCUACCGAGAGCGCGCGCCUUCGCUGGCGCAGGAGGCCUCCACCGCGCUCGCAAGCCUCCCCAAUUGACGGAGCCCUUCCUCGACCUCGACGGCCGUCCCCCCUCCGCGCGCGCCCGACCUUAAGCAUCAUGGCAAAGGUAGAGGCUCGUGUGGAGACGGUCAAAUCAAUGGUCAUUGUUGCAGAGAUUGAAGGUCCUGGAUACUGCAGUGGGUUUGUCGCAUUCACUGAAAAGCAAUAUGGUACCCAUAUUGUAACUGAUGAUAAUUUUGUCAAGGGACGUGAGCGCAGCUUAAAGGUUUUCUUUUUUGACAACACUGUGCUGCGAGCAUCAAUUAUUCACAGAGGGGGCGGUUUUUGUUCCCUGAGGACAAAGUUUCAUUCCACAUGUGAGCAAAUUCAGUUGAUCAAAGGGAAUACUAUCCCCUCACCUGCGCUCCUCUUCCCACCAUCCUCAUCAACUACUUUCUAUCAUCUUCCGAGUUUUGUUACUCUGGAAUCUGCCGAGUCAUAUCCUCUCAACCUCGAAUCCACUCGCAUUCUUCCCACUGAUCAGGUUCCUACUUUAGCACGCAUGUUCGUGGUAGAUUGCCACUACACUGAAGAAACCUCUGACCGUGUUGACAGGUUAUCUUCUGCUCCAGUAUAUACCUUGAGCGGAAGCGUUGUGGGCAUAGUCGUAGGACGUUUCCGUGACUCUACUUGGAAGAAGCUAGCAUUGUCUGCAAAACAUGUCUCGACAUUGAUAGAUUCACUCAUUGCAGUAUCUAGAAACAAGAAAACAAGAGAUGGAAAUGGCAGUUCUGGAAACAAGGAAAAGAGAGAUGGAGAUGGCAGUUAUAAGGAUGAGUUUGCUGGUAACAAGAGAAGCAAGGGUGGAGAUGGCAAUUACAAGAAGUUGGCUGGAAACAAGAACAGCUCUAACAGCAGUUCCAAGGACAAGGCGAAUAAGGGGGCUUGGCACAAGAGCAGUUUCAAGGGCAAGUUGGGUGGAUGUGAGACCAGUUGCAAUGUGAAGACAAGGGGGAGAAGAGCUGGAGACAAGGGUAAGAAGUCGGAUGCUAGCAAAUGGUAAGAGCAGUAAUGGAAGAAACGAGUGUUGCCUUUGCUUUUUCGAAUGUCUGUUCUUGCUGAUUGGUAGCAUUCCACUCAGAACAUUUGACAUCUUGAGCAUCUGCAACGAUUUUCUGUUACAAAAUGACUGAAGAUCAUUAGAGGUGUAUGUUUGAUAGUGUUGUGUAAGCAAGUUUAAUCCCUUUGUAAUAAUUCAUGUUCUCUCUCGGUCGCUCUACUUCUGGUAGGUAGCUACUAGAUUUCUGAAUAUCUCUGAUGUUCUUUGAGAUUAGCCGGCUGGUAGCUGUGAGCAGGCGACAGUUUUGAAUUGAUUGAAUCGCAUUGCACAAUUUAUCGAAGUGAUUCACGUCCUUCUGAAUUUUAUGCAGGCUCCAUGGGUCGAGAGUGGUGAAACAUGGUUUUGAAUUUUUGUAUUACUAUAUUUUCUAGAUUCACCUACAGGUCAUUUAUUGAGCUAUUCCUUGAAGAAAGAACUUAUUGUGCUAUUUAACAUUUUUUUCUCCCAGCAUAACAGGUGCUCCUUCAAAAAUAGAGCAUUUGCUCAAAAACAAAUUCUUAAGAAAAGCAGAUCUUUUCCAUCUGCCACUGUACAGGCAUAUAUGAGCUGGGAUCUGAUCAAUUUGAAGCGAAUUUGGGAUGGGUCCGGCCUGUCGGAUUUGAUGUGGCGGACUCGUAUGGGCGUCCUCAUGUGUGUCCCACAUAUGAGCUUGGUUUGA